UACGGGGGAUGCAAGCGUUAUCCGGAUUUAUUGGGUUUAAAGGGUGCGUAGGCUGUGAGGUAAGUCAGCGGUGAAAUGCCCCCGCUCAACGGGGUGAAGUGCCAUUGAUACUGCCUUGCUGGAAUGCGGAUGCCGUGGGAGGAAUGUGGUGUAGCGGUGAAAUGCAUAGAUAUCACACAGAACACCGAUUGCGAAGGCAUCUCACGAAUCCGCGAUUGACGCUGAUGCACGAAAGCGUGGGUAUCAAACAGG
rnacentral:rRNA from 1 species